AUGUUCACCUGCUGGGUUCCAUGCAUGAAAGAAAAAAAAAUUGACAUCAAGGAUCUUCAAGUGAAAACAGUAAAGAAUGGAGAAAAUGUAACUAUGGAGUGUAACAUUAGUGGGGUCAAAAAUAGUUUUUCUUGGUACAGACAGAAUUUUGGAGAAGUGCCUCAGUUUUUGGUGAGACCGUACAGAUCAGUCAAUCAGAACUACACAUUUGUUGAUGGAUUUAAUGAUAGUCGCUUCAGUGUUACUGUAAAUGACCAAAAGUUUGAUCUCAACAUUAAUAAAAUAAGAGAAGAUGAUGGAGGAGAAUAUUUCUGUGGAGAACUGGAUGGAAGUUCACUAAAGUUCACAUCUGGAACACGUCUGCAGUUUGAAGGUGAAGAGAUGAAACCCUGUCCUACACCUGGAACACUUAACAAGAACCCACACUCUGUUACACACCAGGGUUCAAACAGCAGAGAUGGAGAAGGUUCUUCAUCAAACAACCAUCAAACUCCCACCAAUCAGGCUGAUGAUGAAGAUUUCUUGAACUAUGCAGCUGUGAAUUUUGCUAAGAAACCUUCAUCCUCCAGAACAUCCGGAGACAUUUAUGCACAAGUUAAAAUAAAAUAG